GUUAAGGUGGCAGAGCCCGGCUAAU
rnacentral:tRNA from 3 species